AUCUCUGGAACUGAGAGUGCCUUCGGGAGCGCAGUGACAGGUGGUGCAUGGCUGUCGUCAGCUCGUGUCGUGAGAUGUUGGGUUAAGUCCCGCAACGAGCGCAACCCACGUCUUUAGUUGCCAGCAUUUAGUUGGGCACUCUAGAGAGACCGCCGGUGAUAAACCGGAGGAAGGUGUGGAUGACGUCAAGUCAUCAUGCCCCUUACAUCCUGGGCUACACACGUACUACAAUGCUACGGACAAAGGGCAGCAAGUUCGCGAGGACAAGCAAAUCCCAUAAACCGUAGCUCAGUUCAGAUCGUAGGCUGCAACUCGCCUACGUGAAGGAGGAAUCGCUAGUAAUCGCAGGUCAGCAUACUGC
rnacentral:rRNA from 1 species